UCCUCCAUAGUGGAAAUAUGGUCGCUGACUUC
rnacentral:piRNA from 1 species